rnacentral:pre_miRNA from 13 species
ACGAUUUGCUUUAGAAUUCCUACGCUUUACCGUGUGUAAGCCUGGCAAAGCGUUUGGAUUCUGAAUCGAAGCGU